CCUACGGGUGGCAGCAGUGGGGAAUAUUGCACAAUGGAGGAAACCCUGAUGCAGCGACGCCGCGUGAGUGAAGAAGUAUUUCGGUAUGUAAAGCUCUAUCAGCAGGGAAGUAAACGACGGUACCUGACUCAGGAAGCCCGGCUAACUCGGUGCCAGAAGGCCUCGUAACACGGAAGGGGCCAGCGUUAUCCGGAUUUACUGGGUGUUAAGGGGGUGUAGUCGGUAGGGCAAGUCAGAAGUGAAAUCCCAUGGCUUAACCAUGGAACUGCAUUGUAAACUGUGCAACUAGAGUAAAGGCGAGGUAAGCGGAAUGCCUAGUGUAGCGGUGAAAUGCGUAGAGAUUAGGAGGAACACCAGUGGCGAAGGCGGCUUACUGGACUGUAACUGACGUUGAGGCUCGAAAGCGUGGGGAGCAAACAGGAUUAGAUACCCGUGUAGUC
rnacentral:rRNA from 1 species